GUGAUGCUUACCUUGUCUGAAAUCUGAUUCAGAAGAAAUAAUAGACGGACUUUCACUGGAGGUACUAAAAAUAUCACUGUGUUGCAGGUGACAGUCAGAAAAACUGAUAGAAAAUGUGCUGAAUGAAACGGGAGAUGGAAAACACAAGGGGAGCUUCAGAAAGAGGAGGAACGGCCGGCCAGGAAAAAGGAAAAAGGGAACAAAUAAAGAGGUUUGAAAUCUCAAGAUACCAACGUCAGAAGGUCACUUGGUAAUAAAGAGUGAGUCAUGUGCUGGGAGCAUCAUGGCUAGAAUCCUGAUACCAGGAGAGACAUCAUCCUGUGAGACUGUGACGAGGGUCAGUGAAACCCACAGAAAAUUCUUCAUGUGGCCCUAGGGCCAAGGAUGCAUGAAUUUCAGUGAAACUUAUCCGAAUUGUUGUGUGGAUUUUGUUGAUUUUAGAGAGAGCAGCCCAUGGGAAAUACCCUGAAAUGAAGAGAGAUGGAGAUGCCUGACUGCACGUCACCAAAAGAAGUGAAGAAUAUAUUUUUUCCCCCAAGCAGUCUGCAGAUUUUAGCUUAGGAACAUCAGAGAAUGAAUUGUUUGUGCUAGGUGUUCAACAGAGAUUUUAAAAGAAACUGAAGUUAACGAACUAUGAAGUGAUUAAAUGGCAGUACAAGAGCCAGGUUUGUGGAACCAGGACCAGUGUGCUGGGAGAACCCAGGCAGAGCGGGAGUCUACUGAGAAAGAAACUUUAAAUACAUGAGAGAAAAGCCGAUGCCUGGCCAUGAACUCAUGGAAAAGAAGUUUCUAGGAUGAUGUUUAUCUGAAGAACAAGGCAUACUAUAGCCCAGCUUUGUGUAUAGUCAACACAAGUAUUAAGUAAUACUCUGAUUAAUGGAAAAGGUUUCAGAAUUGAGAAGUAUUUCCUAGUCCUCUGUGAACGACUGUAUUCUACUAUAGAGAAAUCGCAUGGUAAAAUAAGGCUUAAAAUCCACUGGGUGAAUAUGAAUGUGAUUUGAAGGGGCCAUGGGGGGGGGAACCAGUAAUUUCAUUGAAAACAAUAGUGCUACCUAAUACCACUUUAUAUUUUCUAUAAUAAAUUAUGCACACAUUAAACAGUUAUGUAGGAAGAACUGUUUCAUUUGAAGGCACCGAAGUACUUCUGUGUUAUUGUUACCAACUUCUCUCAAUAAUACCAUGUGGAAUUUUCCAGGGAACUGGUACCAAAUCACAAAUUCAGAUCUGCAAGUUUCAGGACAGCCAAACUAGCAAGGUCUGGGGAGGACCGUGAUUUACAGACGGCAUGGUUCUGCUGUUCUACAAAGUGAAGCAGGAAGGAGCAGUGGACCUGUUCAAUAAACUGACUAGAGAGGUUUCCUGCGCUCAGAUGCUGUGCCUUGGAACUCCAGCUUCCCAUGCCAUAUAAAGCACUACAUGGAUUUACUGUUUCUGAACUAUUUCUGCAACUGAAUCCCAUUUGCCAGGU